rnacentral:rRNA from 1 species
UACGGAGGGUGCAAGCGUUAUCCGGAUUCACUGGGUUUAAAGGGUGCGUAGGUGGGUCUGUAAGUCCGUGGUGAAAUCCCCUGGCUUAACCAGGGAAGUGCGCGCGAAACUGAAGGGCUUGAGUGCCGGAGAGGGUCGCGGAAUUCCCGGUGUAGAGGUGAAAUUCGUAGAUAUCGGGAGGAACACCAGUGGCGAAGGCGGCGACCUGGACGGACACUGACGCUGAGACGCGAAAGCGUGGGGAGCAAACAGG